rnacentral:tmRNA from 1 species
GGGGGCGACUGGUUUCGAUUGUGUAAGUGGCUCCGUGGCUGCGCGCCCAGGUCCUCGGGUCCCUGGUAAAACACUCGGGAAGUUCCAACUGCGAAUAACAACUUCGCUCUCGCUGCGUAAGACCUAGUCUUACCGUAGCAGUGCCUGAGAGGCAGCCCGCCCGGGGCGGCGCUCAGGUAUCGCAAAUCCGGGCUGGCCCAACGGCGCGUCUGCCGCUCGCGGGCGAGAUCUCAGCAGACUCAUCCGUCCGUCGGCGGCCUGUCGGCCAGCGUCCGGAGACAUCAAUCGACGGGACACGCGCGUAGACGCUGCGGAAGAUCUUGUGCAAGACGGGAGUUCGAAUCUCCCCGCCUCCACUU